AUUGUUGAGAUUUUGGUUGUUAGGGAUGAGAUUAGAGAGUAAUUCAUUGGCCUCCAGUAUCUUCCAGGGUAACGUGUAGCUGCCAAUUUCCUGGUAAGGCCAUCGAUACUCUCAUAUAUAUAUAUAUACAUACAUAGGUUCAUAUAUAUGAUAUAUAUAGUUCGCAAUAUAUACAUAUUUGGUUGUUAUAAUUAGGCACUCAAAAGGAAAAAUUGAGAUGUUCAUCUUCAUGUAGAAAAAUAA
rnacentral:misc_RNA from 1 species